rnacentral:rRNA from 1 species
GCGGAAGGAUCAUUACACUCAGUAGUUUACUACUGUAAAAGAGGCUGUUAGUCUGUAUAGCGCAAGCUGAUGAGCAGCUGGUCUCUUUUAUCCACCCUUGUCUUUUGCGUACCCACGUUUCCUCGGCAGGCUUGCCUGCCGAUUGGACAAACAUAUAACCUUUUUAAUUUUCAAUCAGCGUCUGAAAAACUUAAUAAUUACAACUUUCAACAACGGAUCUCUUGGUUCUGGCAUCGAUGAAGAACGCAGCGAAAUGCGAUAAGUAGUGUGAAUUGCAGAAUUCAGUGAAUCAUCGAAUCUUUGAACGCACAUUGCGCCCCUUGGUAUUCCAUGGGGCAUGCCUGUUCGAGCGUCAUUUGUACCCUCAAGCUCUGCUUGGUGUUGGGUGUUUGUCCUCUCCCUAGUGUUUGGACUCGCCUUAAAAUAAUUGGCAGCCAGUGUUUUGGUAUUGAAGCGCAGCACAAGUCGCGAUUCGUAACAAACACUUGCGUCCACAAGCCUUUUUAACUUUUGACCUCGGAUCAGGUAGGGAUACCCGCUGAACUUAAGCAUAUCAAUAAGCGGAGGA